rnacentral:lncRNA from 1 species
AGGCCAUUGGCUUGAUUACUGAGACUCCUGGGGCAUACCCACAAUAUCUUUAUAAGUUUUUCUUCAAUGCAAAUUGUGGCAGUCCCAUAUCUGCCAUGCAGAUUCCCUUCUAUUCAAGUGCUAUCUUAAAAAAAAAACCACACACACAAUAAGACACACCUUACUAAUUUUUAAACCAGAAAGCUUCCCUUCACAAAAUCUUCUCCCACAGAAAGGAGCACAAUGUAUACAGUUUAUCAGUUAUUACAAUGACUUUUUAACUUUUAAAGGCUAUUCCUACAAAAUGCUUUACCCCCACUGCCCUUGUUGUAAUGACCACUAUUGCUGUUUGCAAUUAAUACCAGUACAGCGAAAUGCCCCAGGGCAGUUAGAUGUAGGGUGAAUCUAAUGAAAGUAGCUACAGAAAUUUAGUCAUCAGUUACCUUUGACUGCUUAGAUUGACUAGGUGAAAUCAAACGUUGCUUAAAACACCUGUCUACCACAUAACAAAGUGCUGCUCUGCACAACCUGAGAACUGCCCUGGCCACAGUCCCCUCCAAAAUAAACCUACGGGACUUUAUUCUACCACUGACCUCUUAGUUAUGUCUUCCGUUGAAACAGCAUUUUUUUUUUUUUAAGAAUGUGAAUUCUGAGUAUAAAUUACGGAUUGCACUGAGAAAUGCAGGAAAAGCGUAACUACAUGCAGCUGCUGGAUAGAGAUGUCAUAAACAGGUCCAGUAAAUAGCAAGAUGGUGGACAGAGCGUGAAGCGAUUGUUCACAAGGCAAUAAAGUCAGCAAAAUACCGUCUGAGACUUAACUGAGGGGACUGGCCUUUGUAGGAGGGCAACUUCAGCUCCUUGUAGCGAAGAGCUUGGUGAAUGUCAGCGGCCAGCUGUCCUCGCCACCACUGCCCCUCCAGCUCCAUGGGACCUAGCGGCGUGCCCAGCAGGGCGCGGCAACUCACAGCCGGAAGCCGGAAGAGUCCGGGACCUCGGCCGUCACAGCCCCCGCCCCGCCAAGCGGGGGACACCGGCCAGGCUCCUGCUGCAGACAGUAGCUGCUAAAAGCCAGCCUCAGUUCGUGCCACCCAUUGUUAAAGGACCGGCAGGCAGCUCUCUACAUUAUGUCUCAGGACUUGACGGUUGGAGCCAUCACCAUAAGGAGAAGGCCAAGAGAACCUCAGAUGUGUGA